rnacentral:rRNA from 1 species
AACGAACGCUGGCGGCGUGCUUAACACAUGCAAGUCGAACGGGACCUUCGUGUCUAGGGGCGCACGGGUGCGUAACGCGUGGGAACCUGCCCUUGGGUUCGGAAUAACUCCCUGUAAGGGAUGCUAAUACCGGAUAAUGUCUUCGGAGCAAAGAGUUAUCGCCUUUGGAUGGGCCCGCGUUGGAUUAGUUAGUUGGUAGGGUAAAAGCGUAGCAACGCGACGUUCCAUGGCUGGUCUGAGAAGCUGAUAUGCCACACUGGCACUGAGACACGGCCCAGACUCCUACGGAAGGCAGCAGUGGGGUGUAUUGGACGAUGGGCGAUAGUCUAAUCCAGCAAUGCGGCGUGAGUGAUGAAGGCCUUAGGGUUCUAAAGUCCUUUUUGCCGAGAUGAGAAUGACAGUACCGGGUAAAUAAGCUCCGGCUAACUCCGUG